rnacentral:rRNA from 1 species
GACGAACGCUGGCGGCGUGCUUAACACAUGCAGGUCGAACGGAAAGGCCCUGCUUUUGUGGGGUGCUCGAGUGGCGAACGGGUGAGUAACACGUGAGUAACCUGCCCUUGACUUUGGGAUAACUUCAGGAAACUGGGGCUAAUACCGGAUAGGAGCUCCUGCUGCAUGGUGGGGGUUGGAAAGUUUCGGCGGUUGGGGAUGGACUCGCGGCUUAUCAGCUUGUUGGUGGGGUAGUGGCUUACCAAGGCUUUGACGGGUAGCCGGCCUGAGAGGGUGACCGGCCACAUUGGGACUGAGAUACGGCCCAGACUCCUACGGGAGGCAGCAGUAGGGAAUAUUGCACAAUGGGCGGAAGCCUGAUGCAGCAACGCCGCGUGCGGGAUGACGGCCUUCGGGUUGUAAACCGCUUUCGCCUGUGACGAAGCGUGAGUGACGGUAAUGGGUAAAGAAGCACCGGCUAACUACGUG